UCCAUGCCGCUGCCUUGAUGACUCUGCUCCCCACCGUCGGGUCUGCACGCCGCCUCCAUGUUUACCGCUUCACACCGUGGAGAACCGCCGCACCUCUCCUAGCCCCACAUGGCAAGCCCGGGCGCUUCUGGGAGCGGUAGUCCCGGCGGAGGAGGAAGAAGCGGGAGCCGGGCCCAGCGCCCGGGGCCGGCCGCCCCCCCCCACCCACCCCCGCCUUCGGGGUGCUCAGGGCUUGGCAGUUAGCCCCGCACCCCGUCAGGCUCAUGCCAUUCCCUAACAGCUUUUUUAGUUUUGUAAGUAACACCGGGAUGUCUGACACCUAAUCCAUAGCCAACAGUAAUAAGACCAGGGAGGGCGGUGACUUGAGCUGAGAUCUGGAUAUAACAACAACUGAUUGAAUAAGCAGAAGUUACAAGCCAG